CAGGACCCUGGGAUCAUGAUCUGAGCCGAAGGCAGACGCUUAUGAGUCACCCAGAGACUGUGGAUGAACACCAAAGAUGUCUGGGAAAUAUACUGUUGUCAUUGGAAUGACCAAGUAUACAUGUUUUAUAAAUCAGUGCAACACAGAUGGGAAGGCGCGAGCACGCCCGGAAACUGUCCACCACAGCUGCAGCUGGACACAGAGAAGCCCUUUAACUUCUGAACGGAGUGGCUUUUCUGAGAGCAGAGCCUGGGACGGCCACCCAACAUGCGGAGUAGAGGUGGCUAAGGACAUUGCCAGCCCAGCAGUCG